rnacentral:rRNA from 1 species
AUUGAACGCUGGCGGCAGGCCUAACACAUGCAAGUCGAACGGUAACAGGAAGAAGCUUGCUUCUUUGCUGACGAGUGGCGGACGGGUGAGUAAUGUCUGGGAAACUGCCUGAUGGAGGGGGAUCACUACUGGAAACGGUAGCUAAUACCGCAUAACGUCGCAAGACCAAAGAGGGGGACCUUCGGGCCUCUUGCCAUCGGAUGUGCCCAGAUGGGAUUAGCUAGUAGGUGGGGUAACGGCUCACCUAGGCGACGACCCCUAGCUGGUCUGAGAGGAUGACCAGCCACACGGGAACUGAGACACGGUCCAGACUCCUGCGGGAGGCAGCAGUGGGGAAUAUUGCACAAUAGGCGCAAGCAUGAUGCAGCCAUGCCGCGUGUAUGAAGAAGGCCUUCGGGUUGUAAAGUACUUUCAGCGGGGAGGAAGGGAGUAAAGUUAAUACCUUUGCUCAUUGACGUUACCCGCAGAAGAAGCACCGGCUAACUCCGUG